rnacentral:lncRNA from 1 species
UGAUUGCGAUUGCGUCUUCUGUGGACCUAUUGGGGCGGUAAGCAAAUUGGAUUGGGUCUAGGGUGUCAGGUAGGGGGGAGGUGAUAUGGUCCUUGACUAGUCUCUCAAAGCACUUCAUGAUGACGGAAGUGAGUGCUCCGGGGCGAUAGUAAUUUAGCUCAGUUACCUUCGCUUUCUUGGGAACAGGAACAAUGGUGGCCCUCUUUCAAUAUGUGGGAACAGCAGACUGGGAUAAGGAUUGAUUGAAUAUGUCCGUAAACACACCAGCCAGCUGAUCUGCGCAUGCUCUGAGGACGCGGCUGGUGAUGCCAUCUGGGCCGGCAGCCUUGCGAGGGUUAACACGUUUAAAGGUUUUACUCACGUUGGCUGCAGUGAAGGAGAGCCCGCAGGUUUUGGUAGCGGGCCGUGUCAGUGGCACUGUAUUGUCCUCAAAGCGAGCAAAGAAGUUGUUUAGUUUGUCUGGGAGCAAGACAUCAUGGUCUGCGACGGGGCUGGUUUUCCUUUUAUAGUCUGUGAUUGACUGUAGACCCUGCCACAUACCUCUCGUGUCUGAGCCAUUGAAUUAUGACUCUACUUUGUCUCUAUACUGACGCUUAGCUUGUUUGAUUGCCUUGCGGAGGGAAUAGCUACACUGUUUGUAUUCGGUCAUGUUUCCGGUCGCCUUGCCAUGAUUAAAAGCAGUGGUUCGUGCUUUCAGUUUUGCGCGAAUGCUGCCAUUAAUCCACGGUUUCUGGUUGGGGAAUGUUUUAAUAGACGCUGUGGGUACAACAUCACCGAUGCACUUGCUAAUAAACUCGCUCACUGAAUCAGCGUAUUCAUCAAUGUUAUUGUCCGACCCUAUGCGGAACAUAUCCCAGGUCCACGUGAUCGAAGCAAUCUUGAGGCGUGGAAUCCGAUUGGUCGGACCAGCGUUGAACAGACCUGAGCACGGGCGCUUCCUGUUUUAGUUUCUGUCUAUAGGCUGGGAGCAACAAAAUGGAGUCGUGGUCAGAUUUUCCGAAAGGAGGGCGGGGGAGGGCUUUAUAUGCAUCGCGGAAGUUAGAAUAACAAUGAUCCAGGGUUUUGCCAGCCCGGGUCGUGCAUUCAGAUUAGCCUUGUUAAAAUCCCCAGCUACAAUAAAUGCAGCCUCAGGAUAUGUGGUUUCCAGUUUACAUAGAGUCAAAUGAAGUUCUUUCAGGGCUGUCGAUGUGUCUGCUUGGGUGGACCUUGCCAUCAUCUUGACUAUAUUUCAUUUAUGUUUUCAUGGAAAACAAGGACAUUUCUAAGUGACCCCAAACUUUUGAAAGGUAGUGUAUAUACAGUACCAGUCAAUAUUUUUAACACAACUACUCAUUCAAGGGUUUUUCUUUAUUUUUACUAUUUUCUAAAUUGUAUGAAAUAACACUUAUGGAUUUAGGUAGUAACCAAAAAAGUGUUAAACAAAUCAAAAUAUAUUUUAUAAUUCAGAUUCUUCAAAGUAGCCAUAUUUUACCUUGAUGACAGCAUUGCACACUGUUGGUAUUCUCUCAACCAGCUUCUUGAGGUAGUCACCUGGAAUGCAUUUCAAUUAACAUGGUGUGCCUUGUUAAAAGAUCAUUUGUGGAAUUUAUUUCCUUCUUACUGCAUUUGAGCCAAUCAGUUGUGUUGUGACAAGGUAUGGGUGGUAUACAGAAGAUAGCCCUAUUUGGUAAAAGACCAAGUCCAUAUUAUGGCAACAACAGCUCAAAGAAGCAAAGAGAAAUGACAGUCCUUAAUAUAAGACAUGAAGGUCAGUCAGUACGGAAAAGUUCAAAAACGUUGAACGUUUCUUCAAGUGCAGUCGCAAAAAGCAUCAAGCGUUAUGAUGAAACUGGCUCUCAUGAGGACCGCCACAGAAAAGGAAGACCCAGAGUUACCUCUGCUGCAGAGGAUAAGUUCAUUAGAGUUAAUUGCACCUCAGAUUGCAGCCCAAAUAAAUGCUUCACAGAGUUCAAGUAACAGACACAUCUCAACAUCAACUGUUCAGAGGAGACUGCGUGAAUCAGGCCUUCAUGGUUGAUUGCUGCAACAACAUAAAACUACUAAGGGACACCAAUAAGAAGAGACUUGCUUGGGCCAAGAAACACCAGCAAUGGACAUUAGAUCAGUAGAAAUCUCGCCUUUCGUCUGAUGACUCCAAAUUUGAGAUUUGUUUGAUAAUCUAUGUUUUUUGAAAACGGUAUUGUUCAGAUGAAUUUGAUUAAUUCCAGGGAUGCACAACAUCCUGAAAUAUAUGUAGGUAUCUUUGUUAGAAAUAAUACUAUAGAAUACUAGUGAUGCUGAAUCCACAAAAUGUCUCAACUUACUCCACUCUGUUUUAUGACAGCUACUUAGAGAAAAAUUCUAGCAAUAUGGUCCACAUCCAUUCAACUGUGAACUCACUCAAGUGACACUCAAUAGCAGUGUUCUUUGGCUCGGGAUCUAUUGAAACAUUAGCUAAAGUUAGCACAGCCUUUUCUUUCUGUUGGCAGUGUGUUUGGUGGUACAUCAUAAACCAAAGUGUCCCCUCUUGGCCCAUAUCCCAGAUGUCACAUAACUUUUUACGUAAUUAAUUCUCAUCCAAGUGUGUGUGUGUGUGUGUCCAUGCGUGCAUGUGGUGCGUUGCAUGUAUGCAUGCACACACACACGUCCUAUGCCCUCUUCCCUUCAGUUUCAAACCUAUUUUAUCAGUAUCUUUGACAGACUUUAAUAUUUUAUUAACUUCCAUUAAAAUGUACCAUGCAGCAUUAAUUAGGAAGAGAAACAAACUCCAUUAAUAUUGAAGUUGUUUGUACAGAGAUAUCUCCCACCAAAAACCCAAACUCCCUUCAGUGUAAAUGUGCUGGGUUGUCUGCCUUUGACGAAGCACGAGAACAUGGUGUGACUAUCACUGGCUUUGGAGAAACUCUGUGAUCCUAGUUCAUACUCCAUUAAAGCUCUCUUCUUUGAGUCAGACAAGGUUACUCGCUCGCAGAAACUUAGCUAACAUACAUCACAACCUCUCGCAGUAGAACUCUAAAGGAGUGAAGAUCAAACAAAAUGGUGUGACAGAAGUGGAGAGACUUUUAGAAUCUACAGCAAGAAGAGUUGUUGUUUUUUCUCUCCACAGAGUUUAAUGCACUGGUAGCUUUGCUAAAAGUUUGACUGCCAAAAGUUUAAGGCUAACUGCUCCCAUAAGGGAUUUCUGAACUUAAGAAUGGGCAUAGUGUCACACAUGCACGUACACACAUCAGAUACUCACAGACACAUUUUAAAUGCACAUUUAAAUCAACACAUUUAAAGACAGAUACAGAAGUCAACUGUUGAGAAGAAAACAACAAGACAAAUUGUCCCAGCCGAGGCAUCGCUACUUAGAUGUUGCUAGUACAAUUAGGAUAUACUUCGUCUUCACUAAGAUUAAUAAUAGUUGCAGUGUGAACUUUAUUAGCAGCUAAUACGGGACCAUUACCCUGAAUUGCCGAUAAACAGGAAGAAGCUCCAAAUGGAAUGAAGCAACUAUUUGUCAUUACUACUGUAAACUCAAAUAUCAUCCAAUGAUUAUCCAUUACCGCUGGGUCAUGACAGAGCCACCAGUGGGUAAAUAUGGCAAGCAGGGAAAGAACCGUUCUUUAGAAUGAAGGAUUUUGGAAAGUCUGGGGAAUUGUUUUUUAUUUGUCUUCCUGGCACUCCAGAAUUACGUGCGAGAGGGACUUCAAAGUUCAUGAUGACACUGGUAACUUGUCCUCUUUUGUCUGUGUGUGAGUGUGUGCGUGUGCGUGCCUGCGUAUUUGCAGGGAGAGUUAACAGUCAGUACAGCUCAGGCCUUGGACCUCAGUGACAUGGCUUAGACUCAAGGGAGAAACAACACUAAGUACAGGCAGAUAGAUACAGUACCUGCAAAUAGAGUUUCGCUCCUCAGGUGUUGACGCCAAGUUGUCAGAUGACAUGGUGUACAAUGUGAUAGUGGACGUCCUCAGCAACCUGACACUGGUAGCGCAGCAGAUGAGGACUGGUACGAUGACGGGAUGCUGGCGGUCUUCUGGAUGUCAGGCUUCUUUUUCACCCAGGGCUUCCUGACGGGUGGCCAGCAGAACUGCUCCAGCAAACACACUAUCCCAUCGACCUGCUGGGCUUCGACAUUGAGCUGCUGCAUGACUGUCAGUGUCCGUGUAUAGGUGAUGAGGAAAGGAGUCAAUCGCAGGACACCGAACUGAGUAAAAAUUAAGUAUUUUACUCAAAUAAAAAUUCAGUAUACAAAAUCCACGCAAGGGAAAACAAGAACUACAAACACAACGAACAAUACCUACAGUAAAACACUAACGCAAAAAACAUCAUGAUGACCAGAGGGUUUAAAUAGGGAAGUAAUCAUAACCAAAUGGGAACCAGGUGUGAACAAUCAAGACAUAACCAAUCGACAAAGAAACAUGGAUCGGUGGCAGCUAGAAAGCCGGUGACGAUGACUGCCGAACGCCGCCCGAACAAAGAGAGGCACCAACUUCAGCGGAAGUCGUGACAAUGACAAAGAGUACCGCCAGCCCCCCAAAGAUGGUGAGACAGACAGAGGGGGGAGGGAAGGAAGAAUGGGUGAGAGAGGGGAGGAAGAAGUAAAGGGGUGAAGUGGAAAAAGAGAUGAAGGAUGAGAUUUCUCAUGAUUAAUCAGGAAUUCUGCUUUUCUGACACAAUCCUCCAACUGACCUAUUCCCUAGCCAAAAUCCUGAUUUUUAAUGGUAUCUUGAACACAGGUUCCCACCGUGAAGCAUGGAGGUGUGAUGGUGUGGGGGUGCUUUGCUGGUGACACUGUCUGUGAUUUAUUUAGAAUUCAAGGCACACUUAACCAGUACGGCUACCACAGCAUUCUGGUUUGCGCUUAGUGGGACUAUCAUUUGUUUUUCAACAGGACAAUGACCCAACACACCUCCAUUCUAUGUAAGGGCUAUUUGAUCAAGAUAGAGAGGGAUGGAGUGCUGCAUCAGAUGACCUGGCCUCCACAAUCACCCGACCUCAACCCAAUUGAGAUGGUUUGGGAUGAGUUGGACCGCAGAGUGAAGGAAAAGCAGCCAACAAGUGCUCAGCAUAUGUGGGAAGUCCUUCAAGACUGUUUCAAAAACAUUCCAGGUGAAGCUGGUUGAGAGAAUUCCAAGAGUGUGCAAAGCUGUCAUCAAGGCAAAGGGUG